rnacentral:rRNA from 1 species
GACGAACGCUGGCGGCGUGCUUAAUACAUGCAAGUCGAACGCUGAAGAGAGGAGCUUGCUCUUCUCGGAUGAGUUGCGCACGGGUGCGUAACGCGUAGAUAACCUCCCUUGUAGCGGGGGAUAACUAUUGGACACGAUAGCUAAUACCGCAUAACAAUGUACGACACAUGUCAUUUAUUUGACUGGGGCAAUUGCUCCACAACCAGACGGAUCUGCGGUGUAUUAGCUAGUAGGUGAGGUAAUGGCUCAUCUAGGCGACGAUACAUAGCCGAACUGAGAGGGUGAUCAGCCACAGUGGGACUGAGACACGCCGCAGACUGCUUCGGGAGGCAGCAGGAGGGAAACUGCGGGAAUAGGGGCAACCCAGACCGCACAACGCGGCGUGAGUGAAGAAGGUUUUCGGAUCGUAGAGGUCUGUGGUCAGUCAAUAACGGGUGUGAGAGUGGAAAGAACACACUGUGACGGUAGCUGACCAGAAAGGGACGGCUAACUACGUG